rnacentral:rRNA from 1 species
UACGAAGGGGGCGAGCGUUGUUCGGAUUUACUGGGCGUAAAGGGCGCGCAGGCGGCUAUUUUUGUCAGGCGUGAAAGCCCCGGGCUUAACCUGGGAACUGCGCUUGAGACGGGAUGGCUAGAGAUCGGGAGAGGAGAGUGGAAUUCCCAGUGUAGAGGUGAAAUUCGUAGAUAUCUGGAGGAACACCGGUGGCGAAGGCGGCGUCCUGGACCAACACUGACACUGAGGAGCGAAAGCCAGGGGAGCAAACGGG